rnacentral:rRNA from 1 species
UACGUAGGGUGCGAGCGUUGUCCGGAAUUACUGGGCGUAAAGAGCUCGUAGGUGGUUUGUCGCGUCGUCUGUGGAAUUCCGGGGCUUAACUUCGGGCGUGCAGGCGAUACGGGCAAUACUUGAGUGCUGUAGGGGAGACUGGAAUUCCUGGUGUAGCGGUGGAAUGCGCAGAUAUCAGGAGGAACACCGAUGGCGAAGGCAGGUCUCUGGGCAGUAACUGACGCUGAGGAGCGAAAGCAUGGGUAGCGAACAGGAUUAGA